rnacentral:rRNA from 1 species
UGGGGAAUCUUAGACAAUGGGGGAAACCCUGAUCUAGCCAUGCCGCGUGAGUGAAGAAGGCCCUAGGGUCGUAAAGCUCUUUCACCAGGGAAGAUAAUGACGGUACCUGGAGAAGAAACCCCGGCUAACUCCGUGCCAGCAGCCGCGGUAAUACGGAGGGGGUUAGCGUUGUUCGGAAUUACUGGGCGUAAAGCGCGCGUAGGCGGACUAUUAAGUCAGGGGUGAAAUCCCGGGGCUCAACCCCGGAACUGCCUUUGAUACUGGUAGUCUUGAGUUCGAGAGAGGUGAGUGGAAUUCCGAGUGUAGAGGUGAAAUUCGUAGAUAUUCGGAGGAACACCAGUGGCGAAGGCGGCUCACUGGCUCGAUACUGACGCUGAGGUGCGAAAGUGUGGGGAGCAAACAGGAUUAGAUACCCCCGUAGUCC